rnacentral:rRNA from 1 species
AUUGAACGCUGGCGGCAGGCCUAACACAUGCAAGUCGAGCGGAUGACGGGAGCUUGCUCCUUGAUUCAGCGGCGGACGGGUGAGUAAUACCUAGGAAUCUGCCUGAUAGUGGGGGACAACGUUUCGAAAGGAACGCUAAUACCGCAUACGUCCUAUGGGUGAAAGCAGGGGACCUUCGGGCCUUGCGCUAUCAGAUGAGCCAGGGUCGGCUUAGCUAGAUGGUGAGGUAAUGGCUCACCAAGGCGACGAUCCGUAACUGGUCUGAGAGGAUGAUCAGUCACACUGGAACUGAGACACGGUCCAGACUCCUACGGGAGGCAGCAGUGGGGAAUAUUGGACAAUGGGCGAAAGCCUGAUCCAGCCAUGCCGCGUGUGUGAAGAAGGUCUUCGGAUUGUAAAGCACUUUAAGUUGGGAGGAAGGGCAGUAAGCUAAUACCUUGCUGUUUUGACGUUACCGACAGAAUAAGCACCGGCUAACUCUGUGCCAGCCGCCGCCGUAAUAC